rnacentral:lncRNA from 1 species
AGAUUGAUCUCUGUCACUGCUCAAGGAAGGUCCGCUCCAGCCUUUCUGCCCGGAGCCAAUCAGCCCUGCCUGCCAAGCCACUCCUUCCCUGCACCUUUAACGGUUGGGAGCCGGGAAACGUCGGCUGGGGUUUUCUUCUUAAGAAGUCGCACCGGUUUUUCGAGCUCCGCUCUGCGUCUGGAGGGCUACAGCAGCGGGAGCGGGUGCCGCCGGGUGAGUCACUGUUUGGAAAUGGAGUGGGCGGGCGAGGGUGUGAGAGAAUGAAUGAUGUCUGGAGCCCCAGCUGAGAGCGGGUAAGGAGCGCCCGAGAGGCUGGCGGGGGAGGAUGGGCUGAAAAGCGGCGCGGCGGGCGUAGCGCGGGUGCGCGAGGGUGGACUGAGAACGCGGACGUGGCUCUAAUUCGGCCCCCAAGCGCCCCGCCCCAGGGCAUCCUUCCUUGAUUUUGCCUGAUUAAGGAUGGACGGUGUAGCUUCGUCUCCUUCUCUGAGCAUUAGCCUCAUUCAUUUGCAACCAUUUCAGGUAACUAGGUCCUGGCGUUGGAAAGACACAGAUUGAACCUAGAUUGUCCAGAGCCACUCUGGAGGUCAGGGUUGAAGUUCAGGACGUGGAGGAGGGACUGUCUCUGAGCUUUUUUGAGAGGCACUUACUGAUGAUGUGUGAACCGUGAUAGCCCAGCUCUGAGCUGCCACACUGAAAUAUUUCAGCGUUUGGCAUUCUAGAGCUGCUCCCCUUAAGGGAAAGGAGCCUUGGUGUUUCAGCGCAAGUAGGUGGAAAUGGAUCUGUCUACCUCUCUGAGAUAUGGAUAAUGGUUAAUAGCCCGUGGCUACGUCUUGAAACAAUGCACAUGUUAUGGUCUGUAAUUUUUUUAUAUCAGUCUGCCAUUCUUCUAUUUCAUCUUGCCUGCUUUAAUAUGAUCUUAACAUCAUUUUGACAUGUAUGUUACGUUUUUGAAGAGAUUCAACUGUUUAGUGUCUCUAGGUGGGCGUGGAUUUUGAACUUAACUUUUGAAAUCCUUGGUUUCACUCCUAGUCUCAUCUAUAAACUGUGGGUUCUCAGUCAGUGACAUUAAACCUCUGAACCAAUAAAAUGGGACUAUAACUACUUCAGAGCACAGUAAUGAGGAUUAAAGGUCAGAGGACCUCUCAUAAUGUCAGGCACAAAGCAGACCUGAACAAAUUUUAACAGUUUGUAUAUGAAUAAACAGUGUGUUCAGCCGGCUUGGGUAAUCACCAGUUAAUUUUCACAAAAUUUCCUACUUAUAAACCUGGUGGGCUGAGGUUUAGCAUGUGGAAUCCUUUGGCAAGUUCCUCAGAGUCUGAAGUGAUGUCUUCAGGAAGUUAAAGGCUUCUGUGUGAACACCUGAAAAGAUUUUUGGUUUCCACUCCAUAUCAGGGGAACUGCCAUUCACUGUUUAGACAGAGUUAGAGUAGUGGCAGAAAUUGACAAAAGGGAUUUGGAGGAAGAUUGGAACUCUCUAACUUUACCCUUAAUUUUUUUUUUUUUUUCCUUUUUAAAAAAUAAGCGGUCCUUGGUAUGCUGCUGUUUUGGUUGAAGUGUUGUUUUGUUUUGUUUUGUUUUAAAUGAGUUAAUAUUUAAUUUGUUUUCGCUAGUUUCAUUUUUAAGUAAAGCUGGUUGACUUCUGACCUUAGAGGGAAACACAUGGACACCUUUGGGUUGCUGCCUCCUGUCAGUUUCUCUUUUCAUGGAAUCUUAUAAAAGCCCCUAGGAAAUAUUUGGAGGGAUAGGGAGCAUUUGCCCAGGUAUUAUUGAAAACAUUUGUUCUUACUGUACUUGCAACAACUUUUAGGGUUAAAGGUCACAGGGAAAAAAAUUUUUUUUUUCACAGUGUAAUUUAGAGAUCUUGGGCAUCAGAAUCCAGAAGACCUCAGGCUAUCUGAGUGGUAACUUGCUGGCUGUGUUACUUUGCGCAAUUAAACCCUCUGGAAUUCUUGUGGAACUUUAAACAAAAUAUAGGGAAGAAGCAGAAAUAAUCAUACAUCUAUUAAAAUAGACAGUGAGAACUUUUUAACGAAGCGAUACUUUGAAGUGAGAUAUUGUUCUUUUAAGGAAGGAUUACUGAGAAUUCUAGACAGUUUCAGACUAGAGUAGCCUGUCCAACUUUAUCUAAUCUUAUGGGGGAUUUGAAGCCUCUAUCCUGAAUUACUGAUAUCAUUUAUUCAGUUGGUGAACAUUUAGUGAGCACCUACUAUAUUCCAGCCACAAUGCUAGGUACUAGCAAUGCUAAGAUGAAGGAUGCACUGGGAACUGCAAUGGCAGAAAAAUCCCCUCAUCUUUGAUUAUGGAGAGGAAAAAAAGAGUCAAAAAGAAGGACAGGGGUAGGGAGUUGGGAGGAAACUAGAAGUGGUUAGGCUGUGAUUGGCUACCUCCCACUGAUAAUUUGAGAUCUUCUGGCUUUGUAAUGGGUAUUGAAUUGGAGCUUCUAAGUUCUGAGGCUGAACACUCCAAGUAUGCCUUGCUUUACCCAAUAAAAAUAUUAUAGACAAAUUUAGCCCUUAAGUUAAAUAACUUUAAAUUUAGAGCAAACUAGUUUCAGUGAAAUCUAAAGGGUAAAAUCAGUUUGGCUAAGAUUUAUGUACUGUGAGCAAAGAAAGCACUGUUGUAGAUUUUUAAAAGAAUAAUCACUGUUAGUAGCAUUUCAUUUAUUUUUCCCCAUAUUAUAAGUAGUAUGUUACUUGUAGAAGUUUAAAAGUACAAGGUAAACAAGUUCACCACCACCCAGAAAAUCACUUAGUGUUACAUCCACAGAGUCUUUCUCACCUCUAGAGAAGUACUGUAUACGUAUUGUGUUUACUGUGGUCCAGGCAACGUGCCACUAUUUUACAUAUACACCAAAUCUCCUGUUAUCCUCACUCCAGCCCUAUGAGGUAGAUGCGAUUAUGGAGGAAAAGACUGAUUUAGAGAAAUUAAAUAACUGUCCUGAAGUUACAAGCUAGAAAAUUGUUCUCUACAAAACUAGGUUCGUUCUCCACAUCCUGUUUUCUAACUUUUUUUCACCCACAUAUGGGCAUCUCUAUCACUAAAAUACAUUUAAACAACAUCUUUUAUAGUUUUCAAUUGUAUGGCUGUAUCUCGAUUUAAUCAAUCUCUUGUUGUUGGAUAGUUUCCAGUUCUCUCUAUUUUAAACAACUCUGCACUGAGUAUCCUUCUAGCUAUAGCGCACAUCCAUGAUUAUUGUAGUCUUUUUUUUUUUUUUUUUUUUUUUUUUUAAUGGUUGCACCAACUGCAAAUGAAAGUUCCUGGGUCAGGGAUCAAACCCAAGCCUCUGCACCUAGGGUCAGGUUCUUAGCCCACUGUGCCACAACGGGGACUCCUAUUUUAGUCAUUUCUUUGCAUUGCAUUUUAAAAAGUGAAUUAUUAUGAUCUUUAAUUUACCUGCCUUUUUAAAAAGGCAUAUUCAGAAUUAGAAAACUUUCUCUUUUCUCUCAAAGAUUUGUUCUAAUUUCUGUGUUCCUUUAGUGUUCCUCUUAAGAUUUCAGCAAUAGGAUCAACAUUCUCUGUGGGGCUGCACAAUAGGUCAGUAGCUCGUUACUCAAGGGAUUUAUCUGAUGAAAACCGGAACACGGAGACUUUCUUAAAGAACUAUUUGUGUUUGUAUUAUUGUUAUUGGCCAUAAAGCUGAACUUCUUUUGUGGGGAAAUACAGCAGAAUGGAGCAGUGCUAACUUUACCAGGCAGAAGGGAAAUUCUACUUCUACAGUUUGCCUCCUUAGUACCCAGUAGGAUAGACAAGUUACAUUUUGCAGAUAUUGCAUUUAGCAGAUUUAUCGUUCAGGUUUAGAAUAAAUGCCAUCACUUUUAAAUAGGUUACCUUAAAAAAAAAAUCUCUUGUUUGCACUCCUGAAAAGUGUAUUAUAGGUGAGACAUUUUCCAGUUGAUUUAAUGAAAGGGCAAGAAAUACCCAUUAGCUAGUUUUCAUUAUAAGUAUAAAGCAUUUCUUCAUUUAAGCAUUUCUCAAGUUUUACUAAAAUAGACCGUUUUUGCUAUCCUGAGUCAAAAUUUUACUUUUAUUUUAGGUUUGUCUUUCCAUUUCCAAUACUAAUUACUUUAUUCUUAGGUUUGGUUUGUUUGUUUGGGGCUGCACCCUGGCUAGGGAUCAAAUUCACACCAUAGCAGUGACCCAAGCCACUGCAGUGACAACGUAGGCUCCUUAACCGUCUGUGCCACAUGGGAACACCAUCAUGGUUUUGAUGUUGGAAUAUGAGUGGUGUUCAGGUCAGCAUCUUCCUACAGAAACCCAGAUCAGGUCAAUGUAUUGAUUCCUAACAAUGACUUUUAAUUCAAAACAGAAUUUGAAGAAACAGGAAAUAAAAUUAAAGUAUAGGGAGUUCCCACUGCGGCUCAGCUGGCUACAAACCCGACUGGUGUCCAUGAGGAUUUGGGUUUGAUCCCUGGCCUCGCUCAGUGGGUUAAGGAUCUGGUGUUGCCAUGAGCUGUGGUAUAGGUCGCAGAUGCAGCUCAGAUCCCAUGUGGCUUUGGCUUGGCUGUGUCUGGCAGCUGCAGCUGCAAUUCGAUCCCUAGCC